UACAGAGGGGGCAAGCGUUGUUCGGAAUUACUGGGCGUAAAGCGUGCGCAGGCGGUUUUGUAAGCCAGAUGUGAAAUCCCCGGGCUUAACCUGGGAAUGGCAUUUGGGACUGCAAGGCUGGAGUUUGGCAGAGGAGACUGGAAUUCCUGGUGUAGCAGUGAAAUGCGUAGAUAUCAGGAGGAACACCGAUGGCGAAGGCAGGUCUCUGGGCUGAAACUGACGCUCAUGCACGAAAGCGUGGGGAGCAAACAGG
rnacentral:rRNA from 1 species